rnacentral:rRNA from 1 species
UGCGUAGGCGGGUCUUUAAGUCAGGGGUGAAAUCCUGGAGCUCAACUCCAGAACUGCCUUUGAUACUGAAGAUCUUGAGUUCGGGAGAGGUGAGUGGAACUGCGAGUGUAGAGGUGAAAUUCGUAGAUAUUCGCAAGAACACCAGUGGCGAAGGCGGCUCACUGGCCCGAUACUGACGCUGAGGCACGAAAGCGUGGGGAGCAAACAGGAUUAGAUACCCUGGCAGUCCACGCCGUAAACGAUGAAUGCCAGCCGUUAGUGGGUUUACUCACUAGUGGCGCAGCUAACGCUUUAAGCAUUCCGCCUGGGGAGUACGGUCGCAAGAUUAAA